rnacentral:sRNA from 1 species
GACGUUCACAAAAGAUUCGAUAUCCGUGGCCAUUGCCGACACGGGUCGUUCCGGCGAGGUCCGUCUCUUCGGAACAAUCCCGCAUGAGCCGGAGGCGGUUGUUAAGCUUGUGAAGAAGCUUUCCAGCCGACACGGAAAGGUCGAGUUUUGU